rnacentral:rRNA from 1 species
CAGUCGCCGCGGUAAUGCGUAGGUGGCAAGCGUUGUCCGGAAUUAUUGGGCGUAAAGCGCGCGCAGGUGGUUUAAUAAGUCUGAUGUGAAAGCCCACGGCUCAACCGUGGAGGGUCAUUGGAAACUGUUAAACUUGAGUGCAGGAGAGAAAAGCGGAAUUCCUAGUGUAGCGGUGAAAUGCGUAGAGAUUAGGAGGAACACCAGUGGCGAAGGCGGCUUUUUGGCCUGUAACUGACACUGAGGCGCGAAAGCGUGGGGAGCAAACAGGAUUAGAUACCCCAGUAGUCCCUGUCUCUUAUAC